rnacentral:rRNA from 1 species
AUUGAACGCUGGCGGCAGGCCUAACACAUGCAAGUCGAGCGAGAGGCGGACGGGUGAGUAAUGUAUGGGGAUGUGACAGAUAGAGGGGGAUAACUAACGGAAACGGUGGCUACUACCGCAUAGAUUCGCAUGGACCCAUGUGGGAUUUGCUAGUAGGUGGGGUAAAGGCACACCUAGGCGACGAACUCUAACUGGUCUGAGAGGAUGAUCAGCCACACUGGAACUGAGACACGGUCCAGACUCCUACGGGAGGCAGCAGUGGGGAAUAUUGCACAAUGGGCGCAAGCCUGAUCCAGCCAUGCCGCGUGUAUGAAGAAGGCCUUAGGAUUGUAAAGUACUUUCAGCGGGGAGGCGUUACCAGCAGAAGAAGCACCGGCUAACUCCGUGCCAGCAGCCGCGGUAAUAC